rnacentral:rRNA from 1 species
GACGAACGCUGGCGGCGUGCUUAACACAUGCAAGUCGAACGGAAAGGCCCUGCUUUUGUGGGGUGCUCGAGUGGCGAACGGGUGAGUAACACGUGAGUAACAUGCCCUUGACUUUGGGAUAACUUCAGGAAACUGGGGCUAAUACCGGAUAGGAGCUCCUGCUGCAUGGUGGGGGUUGGAAAGUUUCGGCGGUUGGGGAUGGACUCGCGGCUUAUCAGCUUGUUGGUGGGGUAGUGGCUUACCAAGGCUUUGACGGGUAGCCGGCCUGAGAGGGUGACCGGCCAGAUUGGGACGGAGAUACGGCCCAGACUCCUACGGGAGGCAGCAGUGGGGAAUAGUGCACAAUGGGCGGAAGCCUGAUGCAGCAACGCCGCGUGCGGGAUGACGGCCUUCGGGUUGUAAACCGCUUUCGCCUGUGACGAAGCGUGAGUGACGGUAAUGGGUAAAGAAGCACCGGCUAACUACGUG